UGCACGGUGACAACUACUGGUGGCAUGUGAGUCAUCCUCAGUGAAUCCGCGUCUGGAGCUCUAAGGUGCAU
ensembl:snoRNA